rnacentral:rRNA from 1 species
UACGUAGGGGGCGAGCGUUGUCCGGAAUCAUUGGGCGUAAAGAGCGUGUAGGCGGCUUGGCAAGUCUGACGUGAAAGCCCGCGGCUCAACCGCGGAUUGUCGUUGGAAACUGCCUCGCUAGAGUCCGGAAGAGGAGAGCGGAAUUCCUAGUGUAGCGGUGAAAUGCGUAGAUAUCAGGAGGAACACCUGUGGUGUAGACGGCUUUCUGGACCAUAGCUGACGCUGAGACACGAAAGCGUGGGUAGCAAACAGG